GGUGAAAAGCACCCCGGAAGGGGAGUGAAAUAGAACCUGAAACCGUGUGCUUACAAGUAGUCAGAGCCCGUUAAUGGGUGAUGGCGUGCCUUUUGUAGAAUGAACCGGCGAGUUACGAUUUGAUGCAAGGUUAAGCAGUAAAUGUGGAGCCGUAGCGAAAGCGAGUCUGAAUAGGGCGUUUAGUAUUUGGUCGUAGACCCGAAACCAGGUGAUCUACCCUUGGUCAGGUUGAAGUUCAGGUAACACUGAAUGGAGGACCGAACCGACUUACGUUGAAAAGUGAGCGGAUGAACUGAGGGUAGCGGAGAAAUUCCAAUCGAACCUGGAGAUAGCUGGUUCUCUCCGAAAUAGCUUUAGGGCUAGCCUCAAGUGAUGAUUAUUGGAGGUAGAGCACUGUUUGGACGAGGGGCCCCUCUCGGGUUACCGAAUUCAGACAAACUCCGAAUGCCAAUUAAUUUAACUUGGGAGUCAGAACAUGGGUGAUAAGGUCCGUGUUCGAAAGGGAAACAGCCCAGACCACCAGCUAAGGUCCCAAAAUAUAUGUUAAGUGGAAAAGGAUGUGGCGUUGCCCAGACAACUAGGAUGUUGGCUUAGAAGCAGCCAUCAUUUAAAGAGUGCGUAAUAGCUCACUAGUCGAGUGACACUGCGCCGAAAAUGUACCGGGGCUAAACAUA
rnacentral:rRNA from 1 species